rnacentral:rRNA from 1 species
GAUGAACGCUGGCGGCGUGCCUAAUACAUGCCAGUCGAGCGAACAGACGAGGAGCUUGCUCCUCUGACGUUAGCGGCGGACGGGUGAGUAACACGUGGAUAACCUACCUAUAAGACUGGGAUAACUUCGGGAAACCGGAGCUAAUACCGGAUAAGAUAUUGAACCGCAUGGUUCAAUAGUGAAAGACGGUUUUGCUGUCACUUAUAGAUGGAUCCGCGCCGCAUUAGCUAGUUGGUAAGGUAACGGCUUACCAAGGCAACGAUGCGUAGCCGACCUGAGAGGGUGAUCGGCCACACUGGAACUGAGACACGGUCCAGACUCCUACGGGAGGCAGCAGUAGGGAAUCUUCCGCAAUGGGCGAAAGCCUGACGGAGCAACGCCGCGUGAGUGAUGAAGGUCUUCGGAUCGUAAAACUCUGUUAUUAGGGAAGAACAAAUGUGUAAGUAACUAUGCACGUCUUGACGGUACCUAAUCAGAAAGCCACGGCUAACUACGUG